UACGUAGGGUGCGAGCGUUGUCCGGAAUUAUUGGGCGUAAAGGGCUCGUAGGCGGUUUGUCGCGUCGGGAGUGAAAACCUCGGGCUUAACUCGGGGCUUGCUUUCGAUACGGGCAGACUAGAGGUAUGCAGGGGAGAACGGAAUUCCUGGUGUAGCGGUGAAAGUGACGCAGAUAUCAGGAGGAACACCGGUGGCGAAGGCGGUUCUCUGGGCAUGAUCUGACGCUGAGGAGCGAAAGCGUGGGGAGCGAACAGG
rnacentral:rRNA from 1 species